CUACGGGAGGCAGCAGCAGGGAAUCUUUUACAAUGCACGAAAGUGUGAUAGAGCGAACCAGAGUGUUUGUCUUAAUAGACAAACUUUUGUCUACUCUAAAUCAGUAGGCGAAUAAGGACUGGGAGAGACCGGUGCCAGCCGCCGCGGUAAUACCGGCGGUCCAAGUCGCAGCCACAUUUAUUGGGUCUAAAACAUCCGUAGCUUGUCUAAUAAGUUUCUUGUGAAAUCUUAUCUCUUAAGGGUAAGGCGUGCAAGAAAUACUGUUAGGCUAGAGACUGGAGGAAGUAAUGAGUACAACUGAGGUAGUGGUAAAAUAUUCUAAUCUUGGUUGGACUAACAAUAGCGAAGGCACAUUACUAAUACAGUUCUGACAGUGAGGGAUGAAGGCCAGGGUCGCAAAACGGAUUAGAUACCCCAGUAGUC
rnacentral:rRNA from 1 species